AACGAACGCUGGCGGCAUGCCUAACACAUGCAAGUCGAACGAGACCUUCGGGUCUAGUGGCGCACGGGUGCGUAACGCGUGGGAACCUGCCUUUAGGUUCGGAAUAACUCAGAGAAAUUUGAGCUAAUACCGGAUGAUGUCUUCGGACCAAAGAUUUAUCGCCUUUAGAUGGGCCCGCGUUGGAUUCGCUAGUUGGUGGGGUAAAGGCCUACCAAGGCGACGAUCCAUAGCUGGUCUGAGAGGAUGAUCAGCCACACUGGGACUGAGACACGGCCCACACUCCUACGGGAGGCAGCAGUGGGGAAUAUUGGACAAUGGGCGAAAGCCUGAUCCAGCAAUGCCGCGUGAGUGAUGAAGGCCUUAGGGUUGUAAAGCUCUUUUACCCGAGAUGAUAAUGACAGUAUCGGGAGAAUAAGCUCCGGCUAACUCCGUG
rnacentral:rRNA from 1 species